rnacentral:rRNA from 1 species
AGAGUUUGAUCAUGGCUCAGGAUGAACGCUGGCGGCGUGCCUAAUACAUGCAAGUCGAACGGGGGUCCGCAAGGAUCCUAGUGGCGAACGGGUGAGUAACGCGUUGGUGACCUGCCCCGGAGAGAGGGAUACCAGGCCGAAAGGCUUGCUAAUACCACAUGCCCAGUCGAGGGAUUAGAAGCUUGACUGGAAAGGAGAAAUCCGCUCUGGGAGGGGCCUGCGACCCAUCAGCUAGUUGGUAAGGUAACGGCCUACCAAGGCGAUGACGGGUAGGGGACCUGAGAGGGUGGCCCCCCACAAUGGAACUGAAACACGGUCCAUACACCUACGGGUGGCAGCAGUAGGGAAUAUUGCUUAAUGGGCGCAAGCCUGAAGCAGCAACGCCGCGUGUGCGAUGAAGGCCUUCGGGUUGUAAAGCACUUUUGAUCGGGAAGAGGAAGGACGGUACCGGUCGAAUAAGCCUCGGCUAACUACGUGCCAGCAGCCGCGGUAAAACGUAGGAGGCGAGCGUUAUCCGGAUUUACUGGGUGUAAAGCGCGUGCAGGCGGUGGGCUAAGUUGGAUGUGAAAGCUCCUGGCUCAACUGGGAGAGGUCGUUCAAAACUAGCCGACUGGAGAGCAGUAAGGGAAGGUGGAAUUCCGGGUGUAGUGGUGAAAUGCGUAGAUAUCCGGAGGAACACCAGUGGCGAAGGCGGCCUUCUGGACUGCAUCUGACGCUCAGACGCGAAAGCUAGGGGAGCAAACGGGAUUAGAGACCCCGGUAGUCCUAGCCGUAAACUAUGUGAACUUGGCGCUGGGCGGGUAAAACUGUUCAGUGCCGGAGCAAACGCGAUAAGUUCACCACCUGAGGACUACGGCCGCAAGGUUAAAACUCAAAGGAAUUGACGG